CAUCUCCAUGCAGUACUAUUCUAUUGAAUAUUGAUACACUCGGAUUAAGAACUCUAGUUUUCCGUUCGUACGUAUAUUUAAAGUGUAGUCAUUUCUUGUUUCAUUUCGCUUUCAGACUAGUAGACGAUGGUCGCGCGCAUUCAAAGCAUUGGCGAUGGCGCUUAGUGUCGGGAAUAUUUUGGCUAGUUGUAGCAUCAUGUGAGGUUGUAUUCACUCGUCCGGGCAAUGUUGCUGCAUUUGGCAAUCCAUAUCAAAUUUUGCCUAGAGAGGAUUUGAUCCUCUUCUCCAAGGAGAGAGAUCAAACCUUCAUUUUAGUAACAGGAGUUGACCCUCUUCCCGGUGGAGCAAAGAUUGAACUCAGAUGCUAUUGCUUUUUGGUAUAAUUUAUCUAAUGUUAUAAUUUCCUAAGAAUAAUAAAUGAUGAACAAUGGCUUCUUUUGA